rnacentral:lncRNA from 1 species
AGAGCUCAACUCUUUUCCACCCCACUUUGAAAGAUUUUUUUUCUUUCCAAAUUUGAAAGAAUGAUUUUAAGGAAAACUAACGAAAAGUAAAAAAAAACUUUAGUUUUAAUGAAAAAUGACAAAUAAAGGUGUAAGUUAAUAGUACCAGGAAAGGUAAAUAUAUGUUUUUUGCACUUGUUUAGUUUUAUCGCUCAAUUCUUUAUUGAUUUAUUCAAUUUAACAGUAAAAUUAAGAAUAUACAUAAAAAUAAAAGUAAAUGACUACAAUUUUUUCAUUAUAAAAGUUUAGACUGAGAGGCUAUCCAAUCCCUGAAGAG